CAAUAGCGUAUAUUAAAGUUGUUGCAGUUAAAAAGCUCGUAGUUGGAUUUCUGGUCGGAAGCUCCUGUCCUCUGAUGAGCGUACAAGUGCGUCCUACCAUCCUUCUGUUAACCUUUAAGGCUUUCGCGGCUUUCUAGGGGCUCAGAUAUUUUACCUUGAGAAAAUUAGAGUGUUUCAGGCAGGCUAGCGCCGGGAUACAUUAGCAUGGAAUAAUGGAAUAGGACUUUUGCCUCUUCUGUUGGUCAUGAGGCUCGAGUAAUGAUUAAUAGGGAUAGUUGGGGGCAUUAGUACUUAACUGUCAGAGGUGAAAUUCUCGGAUUUGUUAAAGACUAACUUAUGCGAAAGCAUUUGCCAAGGAUGUUUUCAUUAA
rnacentral:rRNA from 1 species